rnacentral:misc_RNA from 1 species
GAUGAAGAACGCAGUGAAAUGCGAUAAGUAAUGUGAAUUGCAGAAUUUAGUGAAUCAUCGAAUCUUUGAACGCACAUUGCGCCCGCCAGUAUUCUGGCGGGCAUGCCUGUUCGAGCGUCAUUACAACCCUCAGGCCCCCGGGCCUGGCGUUGGGGAUCGGCGGAGCCCCCCGUGGGCACACGCCGUCCCCCAAAUGCAGUGGCGGUCCCGCCGCAGCUUCCAUCGCGUAGUAGCUAACACCUCGCGACUGGAGAGCGGCGCGGCCACGCCGUAAAACACCCAACUCUUCUGAAGUUGACCUCGAAUCAGGUAGGAAUACCCGCUGAACUUAAGCAUAUCAAUAAGCGGAGGA